GACGAACGCUGGCGGCGUGCCUAAUACAUGCAAGUUGAGCGCUGAAGGUUGGUACUUGUACCAACUGGAUGAGCAGCAAACGGGUGAGUAACGCGUGGGGAAUCUGCCUUUGAGCGGGGGACAACAUUUGGAAACGAAUGCUAAUACCGCAUAAAAACUUUAAACACAAGUUUUAAGUUUGAAAGAUGCAAUUGCAUCACUCAAAGAUGGUCCCGCGUUGUAUUAGCUAGUUGGUGAGGUAAAGGCUCACCAAGGCGAUGAUACAUAGCCGACCUGAGAGGGUGAUCGGCCACAUUGGGACUGAGACACGGCCCAAACUCCUACGGGAGGCAGCAGUAGGGAAUCUUCGGCAAUGGACGAAAGUCUGACCGAGCAACGCCGCGUGAGUGAAGAAGGGUUUCGGAUCGUAAAACUCUGUUGGUAGAGAAGAACGUUGGUGAGAGUGGAAAGCUCAUCAAGUGACGGUAACUACCCAGAAAGGGACGGCUAACUACGUG
rnacentral:rRNA from 1 species